rnacentral:lncRNA from 1 species
UUUAUCUUUUAAAUCUUGCGUUUCUCCUCUCCAGUUUUCUUCUGCCACUGUUGUCUUGGCUGAGGCCUUAUCCUCUCUCCUGUGAAUAAUUGGAGUAGCUUCCUAACUGGUCUCCCUGCCCCAGGCCUGUUUUCCUCCUAUCCUUAGCAGCCAGAGGGAGCUUUCUAAAGGGCAGAUCUGACUAUCUCACUCUCCUUAAGCAUUCUAGGGACUCCCUUGAUUUAUAGGAUUGAGUCCAGCCUCCAUCAAAAGGGACAGAAGACCUCUCUAUGUUCUGAUUCCUGCUUAUGUCUCCAUAUUUUAUCUCCAUUUUAUAUUCUAGGAAACAAGAGUUUGUAGAUACCUGUAAAUCUCUGUUUUGAUGUAAGUCAUUCCUCUGCCUGCAGUGUCCUUUUCCAAUUUAUUUUAUGUGGCUAAUGCCUGCUCAUUUCUCAUAGCGCAGCCCAUUUACUGCCUUCUCCAGGAAGCUUUUCUGAAUCCUCCAGUGAGUAAGGGAGAGCCCACUGCUAAAAAAGGCCUAGUCAAAUCCUCAGGUGUACAUGGACAUCAAGAUUGGGAACAAGCCGGCUGGCUGCAUCCAAACCCUCCUGCGUUCCGACGUCGUGCCCAUGACCACAGAGAAUUUUCUCUACAUGUGCACCCAUUUAAAGGACUCGGCUUCAAGGGAAGCAGCUUCCACCGCAUUAUCCCCCAGUUCAUUUGCCAGGGCAGUGAUUUCACAAACCACGGUGGCACCAGGGGUCUGCGCAGGCAUGGCACUAAGUGUCCCAUGGCACAUUUGGCCCUCAUGGAGGCCUCAAAAGGGCAGGACCAGCACCCUCUUCUACGGAGGAAGGAACGGGCACAGCAGAAACAAGGAGAGUCAGCAAUUACCAGCCAGCCAAGGUCCUGGAAGCUGACGUAGAGCUCGUGCCGACGGCAGACCUGCCGGCCGUGGGAGCCGCGGACGUCAUCUGCAGGGACAGAAGGGGCAAGGUCUUUUCUGGGGUUCCUGCUGUGUGCAGCUACUAUGGGGUACCAGGGUGGGGGAUGCCCUGAUGAGCACAUUUGUCAAAUAAAUGAAUGACAGGAA